GUAAGCAGUGUUUGAACUCGAUCUUGGAAUAGCUCCCGAUAAGCUCAAUUAACUGUUUGCAG
rnacentral:pre_miRNA from 1 species